UCAAAUGUCUGCCUUAUCAACUGUCGAUGUUAAGCUCUGCGCCUAACAUGGUUGUAACGGGUGACGGGGAAUCAGGGUUCGAUUCCGGAGAGGGAGCCUGAGAAACGGCUACCACAUCCAAGGAAGGCAGCAGGCGCGCAAAUUACCCACUCCCGGCACGGGGAGGUAGUGACGAAAAAUAACGAUACGGGACUCAUCCGAGGCCCCGUAAUCGGAAUGAAGUCACUGUAAAGACUUGCCUGAGUACCCAUUGGAGAGCAAGUCUGGUGCCAGCAGUCGCGGUAAUUCCAGCUCCAAUAGCGUAUAUUAAAGUUGUUGCGGUUAAAAAGCUCGUAGUCGGACUUGUGUCCGAUGCUGCCGGUUCACAGCCCGUCUGUGUUCUAACUGGCAUGUCCGUCAGGACGUCCUGCCGGUGGUCCGAGCCGCCUCCUGGUUCGCGGUUAUCGACCCGGUGGUCGGGGAGGGCCUGUUUCACCCGUUCGUGGUGCUCUUUACUGAGUGUCUCGUCGGGCCGGCAUGUUUACUUUGAACAAAUUAGAGUGCUUAAAGCAGGUUUGAUACUGCCUGAAUACUGAGUGCAUUGAAUAAUGGAACAGGACCUCGGUUCCGUUCUAUUGGUCUUUCGGAAAUUCCGAGGUAAUGAUCAAUAGGGACAGACGGGGGCAUUCGUAUUGCUACGCUAGAGGUGAAAUUCUUGGAUCGUAGCACGACGAACAAGAGCGAAGGCAUUUGCCAAGAAUGUUUUCCUUGAUCAAGAACGAAAGUUAGAGGUCCGAAGGCGAUUAGAUACCGCCCUAGUUCUAACCGUAAACGAUGCCAACUAGCAAUGCGCAGAUGUUCCUCCGAUGACUCUGCGCGCGGCUUCAGGGAAACCAAAGUUUUUGGGUUCCGGGGGAAGUAUGGUUGCAAAGCUGAAACUUAAAGGAAUUGACGGAAGGGAACCACCAGGAGUGGAGCCUGCGGCUUAAUUUGACUCAACACGGGGAAUCUCACCAGGCCCGGACACCGGGAGGAUUGACAGAUUGAUAGCUCUUUCUUGAUUCGGUGGGUGGUGGUGCAUGGCCGUUCCUAGUUGGUGGAGUGAUUUGUCUGGUUAAUUCUGAUAACGAACGAGACUCUAACCUACUAACUAGUCGUCUUCGACAUCCUUUGUGCUGUCGACGAAGAUUCUUCUUCUUAGAGGGACAGGCGGCUACAAGCCGCAUGAGAAAGAGCGAAAACAGGUCUGUGAUGCCCUUAGAUGUCCUGGGCCGCACGCGCGCUACACUGAAGGAAUCAGCGUGUUUUCUCUGUCCGAGAGGACCGGGUAACCAGUUGAAACUCCUUCGUGCUAGGGAUUGGGGAUUGCAAUUGUUCCCCAUGAACGAGGAAUUCCCAGUAAUCGCGAGUCAUGAGCUCGCGUUGAUUAAGUCCCUGCCCUUUGUACACACCGCCCGUCGCUACUACCGAUUGAAUGAUUUAGUGAGGUCUUCGGACGAGCGUACGCGGGGUUUCCGACUCCACGAUUUCGCUGGAAAGUUGACCGAACUUGAUCAUUUAGAGGAAGUAAAAGUCGUAACAAGGUAUUCG
rnacentral:rRNA from 1 species